GUAGCCGUUUCAGGCUGGAGGGAACAUUCCCUAAGGCUCCUCUCCAUCUGUGUCCUUGGCGAUUUCCCUGCCUUGGUGAACCCUUAGAAGGCAGUGCAUUAGCUUACAAGGGUCAAAGUACCAUCUGUAAUGCCAUCCUGUAAUAACAACCUCUGUCAUGCCAAGGAAGCUGGCUUUCUUCUGAGGGCUGUUUGCACAACUGGGUUAUGCCCAGUCACAUCAUUGGAUGACAGCGAGGAGUCAAGCCUGAGGAUGAAGCUAACACAGAAAGGAAGGCAGAGCAGAGACAAGUACCAAGACUAUGCUGGAGUCUUGAUCAAACAACAUAUGAAUUUCACUCUAUUUCUGGACUUUUCAAUGACACCUGCAAUAUUAUAUCCACUUUCAUGGCUGCAACCACCACAUCCAUGGGACGACUCCAAAGCAUCCAUCUCAGUCCUUGACAGACAGUUGCAGAUCUCCAGCUGACUGUCAAACACUCUUAACUGCAGAACUGCUGCCAUAAUGUGUUUAAGCUCUAACUGAGGAUCUGUAACUGACUAGCCAUGUGAACUCGGAACUGUCACGUAUCUUUCAGAACUUCAGCGUUUCAUUCGACAACAAGAAUGGUUUGAAGUUGAAUAUCUACCGUACAAGACUUUAAGGCCUAGGAGGAGCCUUGUCUAUCCAAUUAUUGACGGGACCUCUUUAGCCUAAGGUUCCUGUAGUUGUAAUGUGUGCCGUCCAAUACAGUUUAAAUUUAAAUUUAAUUAAACGUAUAUUCAAUUGAAAAUUCAUGUCAUCUGCUUCACUAGCCACAUUUAAAUGUUCAGUUGCCACUUGUGACGGUGGCUACCAUAAUGGACAAUGCUGAUAUAGAACAUUUUCAUCCCUGCAGAAUGUCUCAUUGGAUAAUGCUGUAGGUUAACCAACCACCACGUAUAAAGCCAAAAUUAUCUUCCUCUCCAUUAGCUCAAACUUUAUACUUCCUACGUCUCAUAGUAGCAUUAACACCAUUGUUAUGGACUGAAUUGUGUCCCCCACCAGAUUCAUAUGUUGAAGUCUAACCUCCCCCCAAUAUGACUGCAUUUGGAGAUAGGGACCUUAGGGAGGUGAUUAAGGUUAAAUGAAAUCAUAAGAGUGGGAGCCUAAUGCAAUAGGUCUCGUUCCUUACAAGAAGAGGAAGAGAUAUCAGAGAUCUCUUCCUCUCUGCACUUGUGCAGGGAAAGAACAUGUGAGGAGGCAGUGAGAAGGCAGCCAUCUGUAAUCCAGGAAGAAAGACUUCACCAGUAACCAACACGGAUGGCACCUUGAUCUUAGAUUUCUG
rnacentral:lncRNA from 1 species